rnacentral:rRNA from 1 species
GAUGAACGCUGGCGGCGUGCUUAACACAUGCAAGUCGAACGGUCAACCUCUUCGGAGGGGUUCAGUGGCGAACGGGUGAGUAACACGUGGCCAACCUGCUCCCGUCUCUGGGAUAAUUCCAAGACAUCGGGGCUAAUACUGUAUGUUCACCGCUUCCCGCAUGCGUGGUGGUGCAAAGGGUUUGCGGCUGGGGAUGGGCCCGCGUCCUAUCAGCUUGUUUGUGGUGUAGUGGCCUUCCAAGGCGACGACGGAUAGCCGGCCUGAGAAGGUGACCAGGCACACUAGGCCUGCGAGACGGAGCAGUAGGGAACGGGAGGCAAAAGGGGGGAAUAUUACGCAGUGGGCAGAAGCGUGACGCGACGGCGCCGGGUUGGGAAAGACGGCCUUCGAGUUAUAAACCUCUGUCAGCAGGGACGAAGCGAAAGUGACGGUACCUGCAGAAGAAGCACCGGCCAACUACGUG